rnacentral:rRNA from 1 species
GACGUAGGGUGCGAGCGUUGUCCGGAUUUAUUGGGCGUAAAGAGCUCGUAGGCGGCUCAGUAAGUCAGGUGUGAAAACUCCAGGCUCAACCUGGAGACGCCACCUGAUACUGCUGUGGCUAGAGUCCGGUAGGGGAGCAUGGAAUUCCUGGUGUAGCGGUGAAAUGCGCAGAUAUCAGGAGGAACACCAGUGGCGGAAGGCGGUGCUCUGGGCCGGAACUGACGCUGAGGAGCGAAAGCGUGGGAGCAAACAGG